CCUCUCCGAUGAGUCAUGUGACCAGCUGCUGUGAUCUGAAUGUUAAACUGCAAGACAUUUAGAUCAGCAGUGCAGCUCCAACUUGCAGCGCGUCUAUUUAUAGAUCACAUCUGGACGGUUUGAACAUCUGGCAGCAAACAGAAAGUUCCAGAACGACGGGAUCCGAUUUCUGAGGAGGAAACGGCUUCAGACGAACUGAUUCACUUAGACGAACCGGUUCACUUAGAUGAACCGAUUCUCUUACAGGUGCUGGUCAUAAAAUUAGAAUAUCAUGAAAAAGUUGAUUUAAAUGGUUCAUAAAAUAAAACGUGUAUAUUAUAUUCAUUCAUUACACA